rnacentral:rRNA from 1 species
UACGUAGGUGGCAAGCGAUACUCGGAAUCACUAGGCGUAAAGCGCAGGUAGGCGGUUCGGUAAGUCUUUUGUGAAAGCUCCCGGCUCAACUGGGAGAGGCCAAGGGAAACUGCCGGGCUAGAGUGUGGUAGGGGAUACUGGAAUUCCUGGUGUAGCGGUGAAAUGCGUAGAUAUCAGGAGGAAUACCUAUGGCGAAAGCAGGUAUCUGGGCCAUCACUGACGCUGAUCUGCGAAAGCUAGGGGAGCAAACAGG